GCCUGGGUGGCGGAAUAGGUAGACGCAAGGGACUUAAAAUCCCUUGGAGCUUGUCUCCGUGCGGGUUCGAUUCCCGCCCCAGGCACCA
rnacentral:tRNA from 1 species